rnacentral:rRNA from 1 species
UACGAGGGGGGGCAAAUGUUGUUCGGAAUCACUGGGCGUAAAGGGAGCGUAGGCGGGUUCUUAAGUAAGGUGUUUAAUCCCGGGGCCCAACCCCGGACCGGCACUUUAAACUGGGAAUCUUGAAUAGUGGAGAGGUCGGUGGAAUUGGGGGUGUAGCGGUGGAAUGCGUAGAUAUCAGGAGGAACACCGGUGGCGAAGGCGGUGGUCUGGGCCGGAACUGACGCUGAGGAGCGAAAGCGUGGGGAGCGAACAGG